UGGCGAACGGGUGAGUAAUACAUAAGUAACCUGCCCUAGACAGGGGGAUAACUAUUGGAAACGGUAGCUAAUACCGCAUAACGUCGCAAGACCAAAGAGGGGGACCUUCGGGCCUCUUGCCAUCGGAUGUGCCCAGAUGGGAUUAGCUAGUAGGUGGGGUAACGGCUCACCUAGGCGACGAUCCCUAGCUGGUCUGAGAGGAAGGUCCCCCACAUUGGAACUGAGACACGGUCCAGACUCCUACGGGAGGCAGCAUG
rnacentral:rRNA from 1 species